rnacentral:rRNA from 1 species
AUGUCGUCCUCCUCCGGUGCCUCCCAGGCUAGCCUCAACGGCCAAGUCAUGGAGAGGCUCUCCCGCACCAACUACGUCAUCUGGCGCGCGCAGAUCACGCCGCAGCUAAGGGGCGCGGGCGUCUUUGGCUACGUCGACGGCACUACACAGGAGCCGGCCAGGAUCCUCUCCUCCAAGGACAAAGAUGGGAAGGAAUCGACUGUGCCGAACCCUAUCUACGCCAUCUGGGCGCAAGAGGACCAGCAGGUGCUCGGGUACCUGCUGAACAACCUCACCAAGGAGGUGCUCGUGCAGGUGACCGCGAUCACCACGGCACGCGAGCUCUGGACGGCACUGUCGGGGAUGUUCUCCUCGCAGUCGCUCAGUCGCGUGAACAACAUCAGA